rnacentral:lncRNA from 1 species
GGCUGCCGGCCCCGCGGCUCGGGAGGCGGAGGGAGCCGGCCAGGAUUGAUGUCUAAAUCAAUGCCGUUUCUAGGCGCUUCUCUCUGCUCCUCUCCAUCUUCCUCAAAGGCAGAUCGCCUCCCGAGGGAGGGUUUCCUCUCCCUUCGCAAAGUCAGCGCGAGGAGAGUGUCCGCACGAACGGGAACGGCAGCCCCACGCGGGCCAUCUGAGGGGCAGGGGCAUCUGGACAGGCACCCACGUGGGGGGAAACCGCUAACCUGGGAGCGGGCCUCGGCGGGGCGCCCUGCUGGUCCCGGCUCAUCCUCUCUUCCCCAGGCCACCCCCGCGCAUUCCCUGCGCCCGAGUUCUUGCUGCCCUCGUACCCCCCGCGCGGCGCCGGCUCGGGCCGCCCUCCCGGCCGCGGCGCAGGGCGAGGCCUGUCCCCUGUGUGCCCUCCUGGCUCCCAACUGCGACCCCAAUUUGCUGGGAUCUGGAAAGGGAGACCCGUCGUCUCCGACGCCAAAGCGGGCCCUGCGCAGGCAGGCCUGGCUGCUCCUGAUUUAAUUAUUCACUGAUGAAUUAGACAGCUGCAAUUGUCGUGAAAAAUCAGCGGCCACUAUUGAUUCCCGGAACGAGGAGGGGUUCAACUGUGGAAGACCUUGUGAAAAAAGAGGUGCCCCACGGAAGACGCACAUAAAGUCCGACCCCGAGACCUCGGCGCUAAUGCUUACGUCAUGUUGCGGCAGCAUCGGGCAACAACUGAGGGAGUGGAACCAGCAAGGAUGUUUUCAGGGACUGCACAAAAGCCGAUAUGAGACAUGGCCGCUGUGAUUUAUGGGAAUCAGUGUCCCAACUUAGUCAAGUAGAUCUGAUAAAAAAAAAAAAAGAAAAGAAAAGAAGAGUCUCUCUUUGACAGAGUUUUACAGAAGCAUUUGCUCUUGCCGGUAUUCAUGGGGUGCCAAGGCGUGGUAUUACUCACUGGCUCCUGUCUUGUGAGUCAGGGAAAAGAUUUCAAGCAUCUACCAGGUGGCAAACACUGCACCAGUUGCUCUGAAGUUAAAUGAAAUGGAAGAGAAGGACCCUGUUCUUGUUAAGGAGACAAGGCUAAACCUCUGAAAGAAUGUAAAACAUUACAAAUUAAAUAUAUUGUGUUGUAAUCAUAAUUGCUGGCAUUUUUUUUUGUAGCAUGUUGCAGUUUUCAAAGUAGUUUUGCAAGCGUCUUUUCAUUUGAUACUAGCCGUAUAUGGAGUGUUUACUAUGUGCUGGAUAUCAGAAAUAUUAUUUCAUUUAGUCUUUCUAAGAACCCUAUGAGGUAGGUGCUGUUAAUCUUUACAGAUGAGAUCCUUUGGCAGUUCUGAGGGUAGUCCGAACAAGCUUUUAAAAUAGAUUCAGAAACAGGCUCAUGGAGGAUAAAAGGCUUCCACAGGGUUGUUUGACUUUAAUGACCUCCUCUUUUUAAUCCUUCCUCUUGGACCGGUCUACAGUGAUGCCAGCAUGUGAACUUUCUGACAUUAAAUGUCCUUAAUAGUCUAUCUUUCUACCAACGCUUAUUUAUAUUUUUAGUCCAACACUUUGUGUGAAGAGGCAGGAUACUUUGUGACGGGUUUGUUGAAGGAUCUGUGUAGCCUCCUAGUUCAUGCCCUCUGCCAUAGGUCAUCCACAUGCCUCUGCCCAGACCUUUUCCCCGAGCUUCCAAAUUAUCCCCUGCCCGGCCCCUGACUAGCCAGCUAGUCUCUGUCGGUGAGUUAAUGUGUACUUUGGCCCCUGACCGUUUGUCCUUCUGCACAGAGUGGAAGACGUGCAUCGCUUGAAGCUCCGGUGGCAGUGCAGCAGCAGCUUCGCCUCUUCCUUCCUACGUCACCAGGUCCUGAGGUCUUUCUCACGCAGCCGUAGGAGAGGUCCUGGUGCGACAGUACUGGAGGACAUGUGGUCUGUGCCACUUACUCACGCAGCCUGCAUGUUACUUCCUUGAGCCUCAGUAUCAUACAUUGAGAGUAUUGAGUUUGAUCACUAAGCUCCUUUCCAGUAAGAAAAGUACCUGAUUUUAUGAAAUAGGAGGCAUUAACUCAUAUGCUAUCAGAUCUUUGCAUGGCUGGCUUCUUGUCACUCAGGUCACCUAGUCACUCUAACGUAUGACCCCAGCUUUUUUUUUUUUUGGUGAGGUAGAUUUGUCCUGAGCUAACAUCCACUGCUAGUCUUCCUCUUUUUUUUUUUUUUGCUUGAGGAAGAUUGGCCCUGAGCUAACAUCUGUGCCAAUCUGCCUCUAUUUUGUUUGUGGGUUGCUGCCUCAGCAUGGCUGAGGAGUGGUGUAGUCUGUGCCUGGGAUCUGAACGCGUAAACCUGGGCCACCAAAGUGGAGUGGGCCGAACUUAACCACUAUGCCACCAGGCCGGCCCCCCCAGCUUUUAAUUUUAGAUAGUGAUAUGUGCAAGGAAGAAAUUCCUUCCUUCCCUUCCUUCCGUCCUUAUUUGUUUCUUUUCUGUCUCUCCUCACUAAAAUGUGAACUGCAGGAGGUCAGAGCCAAUGUUUUAUUCAUGGUUGUAACCCCAGCAUCUAUAACAGUGCCUGGUGCAUAGUAGGUGCUUUAUAAAUAUUUGUUCAAUGAAUGAAUGAAGUCCAUUAAACUGGAUAAAUCCAAUUGUACUUAGAUUGUUAGUAGCCAGACGCCUCACAUUUUAGAGGAGUUCUAAUAGUUCAUCCCAUCUGCCAUCUCGUGCUACACAUAACUUAGGCUGGGUAAAUGGGUUUCCUCAUUGCCAGCAAGUCCCUGGGCAGGAAGUGCCACAGCACCGUCAGCUGCUUACGCAUUAUGUUUGCCAUGCUGUUCCUUUUGACUCUUGUUAGUGCACUGGCUUCUUACAGCCUGGCUAGCUUCAGGAACUGUAUGAAAUAGCAGUUCAAGCCUUGUGGAGAUGAUUUGAGGAUUUGUUUCAAUUUAUGAGUUCUUUGGACCAGUCUUCUCUCCCUUUCAAAGCAGGUCUGGAACCAUCAUGUGGUAAACCCUGUCGAUGCAUUUUCAUCUCGUACUUGCUGGUUCAUUACACUGUCUGGUUUGCAUGGUGCCCCAGUAGAUUGUCAGCUCAUCUGUAUAGCAGUUUAUUCCAUCUGCAAUGCUUCAUUAUUUUCGAAGAAAAAUGCUAUUCGCCCUUGAGCAUGGCUGCAGAUCUUGCUCUGCUGGGGUGCUGGAGAUGAAGCAGCUCUGCAGAUGAAUGCUUGCUUGAGGCCCAGGAAGUGGAAUUUAGUACCUUUCUGAAAUUGAGUGCUUUGGGUAGGAUGGUUAUCUGGAAUAUCUAGGGCAUCCAGGAUGGAAACAAGAGACGCUCUAAGUCUAACUGUAGAACAAGGGCAAGGGGAGGGUGGGAAGAAUGGCAAGUAUGUACCAGGGACUGUGUUGUGCAGUUAUCUCAUUUAAUCCCCUGGCAAACCAAAGGAGAAAACCGGUGCUCAUUGAUUUAAAUACCCACCAGUGAAUAGGCUGAGCUAGUGACUCAACAGACCUGGCUGACAUCAAAGGCCAUGACUUUUUUCACUAUACUGUGCAGCUCCCAGGACAGUGCCUGGUACAUCAGGGAGUGUUCAUUGAAUGAAUGAGUGAAUGAGUGAACGAACGUUGAACAAGCUUGGUUUUACUUCUUUGUGAUUUCCAUUUUAAUGGCCUCUUUUGCACUCUACUCCAGAACUGUCAGCUACCUAGCUCUCCUCCGUGACUUUGGUGCUCCUUGUGGGUCUGCCCUUCUCUUAACUUGAUGAUCCAUUUUUCACCUUGCAUACUCAGCUCCCCUCCCAUUUAGAUCUCUGGUUUUGCUCCUACUCUUUUCGGAACCUUAGCUAAGAAGUUGGUAAAAUAAGGUGUGCCUCAAUGUUUAUGGUGAUCAUUAUGCACUUACCACGGUCGGGAAGAAUUGCUUUAUGCAAAAGUUUAUCUCUGAGAACAGUUAUUUCGAGGACAGUUGUAGUUAGGUAGAGGGUAGACUUUGGGUGGGAGGGAAUUUGAAUGUCUUUCAAAUCAUCCAAGGCUGUCUGCUGCUUAUUCUACUUAUGCUGAGUGCAGUGAAAUUGAGAGGGAAUCCUAGGUACAAGGAGGCUGUGUUUGGGAGAUAGAACAGGGGAUUUAAGGAUAUCCCAGCUCUGAGGAAGGAACCAUCAGCUGGCAGACCAAGACGUUUAAGCUUCCAGUGCUGAAGAAUGAAAACAAAAUGUCUUCUCCAGAUUCCGUCCCUUAAAGAAUUUAAUGAAUAGAAUGGGGAUUUGUUUUCCUAGCUCUUUAAGAAAAUGUGGCUCUGUGUAUAACAAUCUACCAUAUUGUAAGAACCUAUCCGUCAUAAAUAGGGAGGUUUAGGAACAGAGCUUUGAAGCCUUAAAAGCUCCAAAACUACUGCAUCAAUGGUGCUCACUUCACACCACCUCCCAGCCCUCCAGGGGUGCCUCCUUCCUGAAGACCGACCCCAGGAUCUGAGAAGUGUAGAACCUUAGAGGCUGGCCACUCCUGUUUCCUCCCAGUGCGAGAAUCUCCCCAGGGCCGACCUGUGGCCGGCCGGUGGUGUGGCAGGGUGGUUGGGUUCGUGCACUCUGCUUCCGCGGCCCAGGGUUUUGCUGGUUCGAAUCCUGGGCCUGGACAUGGUGCUGCUCGUGGGCCAUAUUGGGGCGGCGUCCCACGUGCCACAACUAGAAGGACUCACAACUAAAAAUACACAACUAUGUAUGGGGGUUGGAGGGCCUUUGGGGAGAAAAAGGAAAAAAAAAAAGAAUCUCUCCAAUAGUUUCUGUGACAUCAUCUUGAAAAUCGUCACCACCUAAAUCAGCCCAUUCAAUUGCUUCCAGGCUAGUAGGGUUAGGAAAUCCUCUUCUUAACUUGUGACUCCCACCUCUUAGUCUGUGUUUUGCCCUUGGGAGGAGAACAGAGUCAGUCCUCUGCCUCUGCCAGGCAUAGCUCUAGCAAUCUCUUGCUUCCAUUACAAGCCUGCAGAGGGUUAAUUAUGCAUGCAGCUCUGCUCUGCAGAGGAAAAGCACAAAAGGCAGUGUUGAAUUAAAGUCACAGAAGCAGUACUUUCUAGCUAAUGGUACUGCCCCUCAUCCCCAAACAGGUAAGUGGGGGUAAAACGUACAAACAUGAAUCACAAUUUUUCUGUUGACUUUGUGACAGACUUUCUGCCUCUGGGCCGCUGCACCCUCAUUUGGAGUUUCUGGCUUUACCUUCAAUGACUCUAAGUGCCGUCAAAAUAACCCCUGCUCUGUGUGUGUGUGUGUGUGUAUGGUGAGGACUAGGGUGGGGUAAGGUGUUAGGAGGGAAGAAGGCUGGAGAUCUAGAUUAUUCUAUAAUUGACAAAGAAGGAAGACCCUUCUGAAAUUUUUGCAGAGUCCUCAAAGAUGCUGCACAGACCGUAGCCAUAGUCACUAAAUUUGAUUCAUCAUUGAAGACAGAGUCCAACUUUUAAAUGUUCUCCCUCUGGACACAGCAUCAUUCAUGUGUUUAGUUGGUAUUUACUGAAUGCCCACUGAAUGGAUAAUCCUAUUGCUUGUUCUGCAUGGAAUACAUUAUCUAAGCCACCUGCGAAUUUGAGAUUGACUAGGAGAGAAAAGUCAGUGAUAUCAGUAAAAUCGUAGUAAUUGUAGCUACCAUUUAUUGAGUGCCUACUCACUAGACAGAUAGUAUAUAAUUCAUGUAACCCCUGUUCCCACCACCUUUCACUGUAAUAUCCUUACAAAGUGGAUAUUAUCAGAGGGUCUGCAACCAGCACGUGUCUGAGCUGGAACUGGAGUCCAGGCUUUUCUGACAGCAUAGCCUUGGUUCUUUCUGUGAAACUACACUGUCUCCCCACAGGGACAGGGACAGAAACCAGUUACAAGGCAGCAACAGCAGCUUUGUACUGAAAGCACUGUGAGUUCAAUCCAGUCCACACAACCUCACUGAGCAUGUAGACAUCUCAUUGGGUAAGUUUAGUCUAGGCAGACGUCCUGGAGGAGGUGUCUCCUUGGCUAAAUCAUAUAAGGAAUGCAGAAUUCGAAUUCAUGGGGAAAUCACUUGGGCUUGCCUUGGAUUUGGUUUGCUUAGGGAUCAAACACAACUGACAAAUGGAAAAGCUCCCCUCCUUCCACUUCCCUCCCUUUUUCCUUCAGUAAGGAGAGAAAGUCUAACUUAAAGCAAGUGGGGAGGGGUCUCUUUUUGUCUGUGCUGAGGUAGAAAAACCCAUCUCCCUAUUCAUCUUCUUCCUCCCUCUCCCCUUAGACUGGAGUUCCCAUCCUGCACUUUGUGGUUUUCACUUAACGAAUGUUAAUGAGAUGGCAUUGUAAUCACCGGAUUUUAUAAAUAUCUCAUCCACAAAUUGGACCACAAAACCCAAAUGAGCCAGCUGAGCAUCUAUAUUCCAUGAGCCUGUGUUUUCCCCACAGUCUUAACCAAAGGAUGUAAAACGUGUUCUUGCUUUGAAGCUGUUCAGGCCCAUGGGUGUUAGAUGCUGAGGACAACUGCUGUUUGCCUGGCCCUAACUCAAGUGGCUUGUUGGGUAUGAGCCUUUCACACAGUCCUGGGUGAUGUAAGGGAUUUAGGCUUGAUCAAUUAUACCCUUUUCAAGUUAACGCUAGAAAAAUGAGAAAUUGAUUUUUUUGACGAAACAAUAUUUUAGAAAUUCAGGAUAUAAAAAUGGGAUUUGACCUCUCUUAUCAAGUCAGCUCUCAUCAUGAUGAUUACAGUCUCCAAUUAUGCCAUAUUUUGUAUGUCAUGGCCGAAUGCGAUCAGCUUGUCAGAUUUGUUCGGGGAGAGGGUAGAGCAAUGAUAAUGCAUCCAGCUGUGACUGCUUUGUGGUGUGAAGGGGAGAACCUGGAGGAUCCAUCUUGUUUGGCAAAUCUGCUGGAGUGAGCAUCCUCAGACACGGGCAUCAGAUUCUAACAAUCCUGCUUAAUCUCUUUGCAGAGAUCUAAUGAGCAAAAGCUAUAUUGAGUAAUUUUUCUGGUGCUUCGUUAUUUUUACCUGGUAUUUCUUACUUUUACCCAAUAUGCUCCUAUUAUUAUACUCAAAUUGUAACCGAAUAAGAAGCGAAGAGCUUACGUACAUUGCAGACAGUCUGUUGACUUACUGGUAGGUUAAACAGCAUUUUGAAGGUAGGACCAAGCUUGACUCACUUUUUAUCCUCAGCACCUAGCACACUGCUCGGCCCAUAGAAAGGACUUAAUUCAGGUUCAUUGAAUACUUUAAAGAGUAAUCCAGCCUUGGAACUGUCUGGAGAAUAGUCCUCAGGCUUCUCCACUGCAGUAAUAUGAAAGAAACCCCAAUUCUUUAAAAUUCGCCAGAAAAAAAUGUUGCUUGCUUUGGGUAAGUGACUGUUUGCAAGGUGGUUAGUUAAUACAAACAUUCGAGUGAUUGGAUAACUGAAAUAAAAAGUAAGUAUAACGGAAGGAGAACAUGACAGAUUUUGUUAAAGAUAACAGCUUCCACUUCUCUUAAGAUGUGGGAACCUGAAUGACUAUAACUUUAACUUUCUUACUAUUCAUUUCCCGCUACUUGGGAAUUUUUUUCAUUGCCAUUUAUUUAAUCACUGAUUUGAAAUAUCAUUAUAAUUACACACUGAAUUCUUGGAUCUGCUUUCAGAAUUUCUGUUCUAGAACAGAAUAUAUUGAUUUUUCUGUCUACUCAUUCACUAAUAAUACACUUCUAAUUAUAGUAACUUUUUUAUAUGUUUUACUAUCUGCCAAGGCUAGUCAUUCAUUACUAAUUGUUUUCCAAUAAUUUUUUUGUUAUUUUUGCAUAGCUCUUCUUUAGACUGAACUUAAUAGUCAUUUUGUCAAGUUAAGUUGUUCUUUGCUUGCUCUCUGCCUUCUCUUCCAAAAAUCUGCUUAGAUUUUUUAUUGGAAUUGUGCAUGAAUCAAGGCAUGCAAAGUUUAGUAUCUGUCCUGUUGUAACUGUGUGCCUGUUCAUGCCCCAGUUUUCUCAUGUCAGGUGUUGAAAACCAUAAAUACUUUACAAAUCUGAGGCUUUAUUAUUUAUGGGAUUUUUAAUGAUUCAGUAUCCUUUAUUUGAUAGAAUAUGGAUACCCUUCCCUCAAUUCUAAGAUAUGUGUCAGAUAAUAAAAAAGAGGUUAUAAUUCAAUACAUAGGAGACUUCCAAUUCUGGUUAGGGAGUAAGAAGUUACAAGAGACCACUGCUUCCACCCUAAAAAGGAGAAUAAGCUAGAUAAGCUACAAAAUCAUAACUUUAAAAACUCAUCAGACAUACUAGCAACCCAAGUGUCCAUAGAUGGAUGAGUAGAUAAAUAAAACUUGGUAUAUACAUACAAUGGAAUAUUAUUCAGCCUUAAAAAAGAAGGAAAUUCUGACACUUGCUACAGUGUGGAUGAAUCUCCAGGACAUUAAGUGAAACAUAUGAGUCACAAAAGGACAAAUAUGAAUGAUUCAGCUUACAUGAGGUAUCUAGAGUAGUCAAAUUCAUAGAGACAGAAAAUAGAAUGGGGUUGUCAAGGACUUGGGAGAGGGAAAAAGGGGAAUUAUUUUUUAAUGGGUACAGAGUUUCAGGUUGGGAAGAUGAAAAAGUUCUGAAGAUGGUGGUGAUGGUUGCACACACAAUGUGAAUGUACUUAAUGCCACUGAACUGUGGACUUAAAAAUGAUUCAAAUAGUAAGUAUAAGUUAUGUAUAUUUUGCCACAAUUGAAAAAAAACCCAUCAGAGAGAUGAAGACAGAAAGAAACUUAAAACAAAUACAAUCCAGGAAGUGUUGAGCUAUUCCUAGGAGGGAAGAGCAGGGCAGUGGGAAGGAGAGGAACCUGCCAGAGGCAGGAAUAAGAAGCCAGCUGAACUUCAGAUAACUUAAAAAAAAGUAAGCAUUUUAUUAAUCUAUAACUGACAUAUAAUAAAUUUCAAAUAUUUAAAGCGAAAAAUUUAAUCGGUUUUGACAUCAUUAUACACCAAUGAAACCAUCACCACAAUCAAAAUAAUGAGCAUAUCUUACCUCCAAAAGUUUCUCUGUGCCCCCUUGUAGUCCUUCCUUCUCAACCCUCCCCAUCCCCAGGCAACUAAUGAUUUAUUUUCAUUACUAUAGAUUUGUUUGUAUUUUCAAGAAUCUUAUAUAAAUGGAAUCAUGCAGUAGGCAUUCUUUUAAGUUUGGCUUCUGUCACUCAGCAUAUUUAUUUUGAGAUUCAUCUACAUUGUUGAGUGUAUCAAUAGUUCAUUGCUUUUUAUUGUGGAGUAGUAUUCCAUUGUAUGGCUAUAGCACAAUUUUUUAUCUGUUCAUCUGCUGAUGGACGUUUUGGUUGUUUCCAGGUUUUGGCUGCUACGAAUAGAGCUGCUGUAUUUGUGCACAAAUCUUUGCAUGGACAUAUGCUUUCUUUUCUUGAGUACAUAAAUACCAAGGACUGGAAUGGCCAGAUGAUAGACCAGGUAUAUGUUUAAGUUUUUAAGAAACCACCAAACCAUUUUCCAAAAUAGUUGUACCAUUUUACAUUCCCACCAGCAGUGUAUGAGAGUACCAGUUUCUUCUUGUCCUCACCAACACUUGGUAGAGUUAGUCUUUUUAAUUUUAGCCAUUUAAAUGAGUAUGUAGUGGCAUUUUAUUGUGUUUUAAUUUGCGUUUCCUUAAUGACUAAUGAUGUUAAGCAUCUUUUCAUGUGCUUAUUUGCCAUCCAUAUAUCUUCUUUAAGUGUCCAUUCAAAUCUUUUGCCCUCAAUGAACUUUUAGGCCAGGGCACAUGUGGGCUGGCAUGACCAAUUAGUAUAUUAAGGAGCCCCAGCCACACAGCAGGUCUGCACCCACCUAUAAACACUUUCUAAUGGGCUUCACUGAGUACAUGGAGAUAGGACACUCAAUUAGUUUCCUAGGGCCGCCAUAAAAAAGUACCAUGGCUGAGUGGCUUAAACAACAGAAAUUUAUUCUCCUAUAUCUCUGGAAGCUAGAAGACUGAGAUAAUGGAGUCAGCCAGGUAGAUUUCUUCGAGGGCUGUGAGGAAGAAUCUGUUCCAUGCCUCUCUCCUAGCUUCUGAUGGUUUACUGGCAAUUUUUGGUGUUCCUUGGCUUGCAGAAGCAUUGCUUCAGUCUCUGCCUUUGUCUUCACAUAACAUUCUCCCUGUGUGUGUGUCUGUGUCCAAAUUUCCCCUUUUUGUAAGGACACCAUUCACACUGGAUUCUGGACCCACCUUACUGCGUAUGGACUCAACUAAUUAUAUCUACAAUGACAAAUAAGGUCACAUUCUGAGGUACUGGGGGGCUAAGAUCUCAACAUAAGAAUUUUUGAGGAACAAAAUUCAACCUGUAACAUAUACCAAGGGCUGGAAGCAGGGAAUGAAAGCUAAGAGAAAGUUCCUUUGAGACACAUGAGCAAGGCCAUGGCACUGAAGGCUGUGGGUGGACCAGGAGACCUGAGAGAAGUCCACCCAAGUUACUUUGAGUCUUCACUGAGUGCACUGCAGCAUCCUACUGAAAGCUAGGGGCCCAGAGGAGAACAUUAGGAGCUUAUACUGGUCUUCACCAAGUAAAAGGAAGUACCUGUGAAUAUAGGGAAUGGGGCGGUGAAUGCCCCUCUGGCCACUUUAGACCUUCACAGUGUGCAUUACAGUGGUCCUCUGAAGGCUGGGGACAGGGAAGCAUGGCAGAGAGAGAUAUAGUUCAGUGUACAUAAAGCCAAGGGCAGGACUGGAGAACAAAGAGAACUCUCUAGUUGCCCUAAAUCUGGUAGCAGGGCGGUAAAGAAAACAAAGAUAUCCUCCAUGGUUUGGAAAAUGGUGGUUGGGCUUUCAAGCAUAAAGAGAUCUUCAGAGUCUUGAAUUGCUCAGAUUCCAAGUCCUACUGGAUGGAAAGUCUUGAUGCUGUCCACAAAACCUCUGAAGCCAAGUGAUGAAUUCAAUCUAACUGAAGUUGCAGCAAAGCCCAGACUUACCUCAACUCUACAUUAGUUUGACUCAGUCUCUCAUACCAGAGCUUGAAAGGAUAUGCCCCUUUCUGGGAGUAAAUAUUAUUUAAUCCCUACCAUGUUUUAAAACACACAAUGUUUGGCAUACAAAAAAAAAUUGCAAGACGUAAAAGGCAGGAAAAUAUGAUCCUGGUGAAGAGAGGAGACAGGUAAGGACCUGGAAGUGCUAAAAAUGAAAAACAUAAUAUCAGAAAUGAGUUCAUUUGACACACUUAAUUGCAUACCAGAUAUAGUUGAGGAAAGAAUAGUGAACUUGAAACACAUCAAUAGAAAUUACUCAAACUGAAGCACAAAGAAAAAUUAGAGUAGGAAUAGAAAAAAGGAUCAGUGGACUCAGAAAUAGAAAAUAUCUUAAAUCAGUGCAAAACCAAAAAUGGACUAUUACAUGUAUGAUUGGAAUAACAAUUAGAAAAGAGGGAGAUGGGACGUUAAAUAUUUGAAAAGAUAAUGGCCAAGAAGUUUCCAAAAUUGAUAAAAGGCAUUAACCCACAGAUCCAAGAAUCCCUGAGAAUUCCAAUGUAAAGAAAACCAUCUUUAGGCACAUGUUAGUCAAGCUGCUGGAAACCAAAGAUGAAGAAAAUAAUCUUAAAAGCAGUCAGAGAAAAAUGAAUAUAUUAUAUACAGGUAAAAAACAAUACAAAAAUAUCCUGACUUCUUGUCAGAAAUAACAGAUUACAGAAAACAAUGAAGGAAUAACUUUAAAGUACUUAAAGAUAAAAUAAAAACUGUCCAUCUAGAAUCGUGUAUCUCAUGAUGAUGUCCUCCAAGAAUUAAGGUAAAAUAAAGACAUUUCCAGAGAGACUGAAGCUGAGAGAAUUAAUCUUCAGCAGAAUGCCACUACAAGAAAUGCUAAAGGAAGCUCUUCAGGCUGAAGGGAAACUAUAUCAGAUGGAAUCCUGGAUCUUCAAGGAGAUUGAAGAGCAACAGAAGAGAUAAUUAUCUGGAUAAAUAUAAAAUACCUUUAAAAAUUAUUAGAUAGAUAGACAUCUAUAUGUAUCUGAGUGUAUAUUUACGUUACUUUAAAAGAAUAUGGGCUGCUUAACGUAAAAGCAAUAGCAAUAUAUUCUUGGGUAGUUAUAACAUAUGUAGAGGUAAAAUGUAUGAGAAGAAGAGCAUAAGGGUUAGGAAAGGGAAAAAUUGGAUUAUACUGUUCUAAGUUCCUUACAAUGUUAAUGAAGCUGUAUAGUAUUAUUUGAAAGUAGACUGUGAUAGGUUAGAGAUACAUAGUACAAUUUCUAGGGUAACAAGUAAAAAACUAGAGCUAAGAAGUAUAGCUAAGGGGGCUGGCUCGGUGGCCCAGUGGUUAAGUUCAUGCACUCUACUUCAGUGGCCUGGGGUUUGCUGGUUCAGAUCCUGGGGGCGAACCUACACAGUGCUCAUCAAGCCAUGCUGUGGUGGCAUCCCACACAGAGGAACUAGAAGGACUUACAACUAGGAUGUACAACUAUGUACUGGGGCUUUGGGGAGAGAAAACAAAAAAAGAGGAAAGAAGUACAGCUAAACAAAUAGUAGGGGAUAUAAAAUGGAUUACUAAAAAUACUUGAUUAACGUGAAGCUUGGAAAGGAAGAACAGAAACGACAAAAAAGACAGAGAACAAAUACCAAGAUGAAAGUCUUAAAUAGAUGCAUAUAUAUGAUUAAUUAAACGCAAAUUAUCUGAAUACUCUGCAUAAAAGGCAGUGGUUGUCAGACUGGAUAAAACACACACAGUCUAUAUACUAUUUACAUGAAACACACUUUAAAAAUAAAGACACAAACAAAUAAAAAGUGGAAGGGUGGAAAAAUACAUACCAUCCACAUUCUAAGCAUGGGAAAGUUGCUGUAGCUUAAUAUCAGAAAACAUGACUUCCAGGCAAGCGUCUCACUAGAGAUAAAGAAUGAUAUAUUAUAACGAUAAAGAGAUCAAUUCAUCAAGAAGAUUUAAUAUUCCUAAAUGUGCAUACACCUAAUAAGAGUACUUCAAUGUUAUGACACAAAAUUGAUCUUUCUAAAGGGAGAAGUAGACAAAGCUACAACCAAAGCUGAUGAUUUUACACCCUGUCAGCAAUUGACAGAAAAGAUAGACCAGAAAAUCAGUAACUCUGAGCUUCCUGGGUCUAUGGUUUGGUGUCAUUAAUUUUGGAAAGUUCUAGGCUAUUAUUGCUUCAAGUAUUUCUCCUACUACAUUUUCUUUCUUCUCUUGAUAUUCCAAUUAUGUAUAUGUUAUACCUUUUGAUAUUGUCUCACAGUUCUUGGAUAUUCUGUUAUUUUUUUUAAUUCUUUUUUUCUCUUUGUAUUUCCAUUGGAGAGUUUCUGUUGACCUAUCUUCAAGCUCAUUGAUUCUUUCCUUGGCCAUGUCCAGUCUACUGAUGAACCCAUCAAGGCAUUUUUUGUUUCUGUUACGCUGUUUUUGAUUUCUAGCAUUUCCUUUUAAUUCUUUUUUAGUUUCCAUCUCUACCAUUACCCAUUUGUUCUUACAUGUUGUCUUCUUUUCUGUUAGAGUCCUUAACAUAAUAAUCACAGUCAUUUAAAAUUCCCUGAUACUUCAGCAUCUGUGUCACAUCUGAGUCUGGUUCUGAUGAUUGUUUAUUCGAGACUUUGUUUCUUCUUUCAUUUUGGUUUGCCUAGUGAUUUUUCCUAAAGCUAGGCAUACUGUUCUGGGUACUAGGAACUGAGGUAAGUAGGCCUUUAGGUGAGGAUUUAUGUUAAUCUGGCUAAGACGUGGACUGCAUUUAAUAUUUGCCAUAGUUACAGGUGCCAGAGAAUUCAGCUUCUUCUAGAGUCUUUGUUUUUGUGUCCUCUUGACUUUGGGAAAAAUCUUUUUCCUGGAAAGUGAACCUCUGUUAUGGAUAAGGCUCUGGCUGGGUAUAUUUUAUCAUUACUCUUCCUCUCCCCCUUCUAGAGUAUAAGCUGUAUUAUUCCUUUUGUAUGAACUCCAAAAACAGGGAAGUAAUCUAUGGGGAUAGAAAUCAGAAUGUGUUUGCCUCUGGGGUGGGGGAAUUGACUAAAAGGGGCUGACUGAAAAUUUCAGGGUUGGUUGAAAUAUUCUAUGUGUUGUUUUGGGUGUCAAAAUUCGUGAAACUGAAUACUUAUCUGAAUACUUUAUUAUAUGUAAAUUUUACUUCAAUAGGAAAAAAGGAAAAUCCAGUCUAUAGAUAUGGGAAAACAGAGUAAUGUGAGCAAAGUGUCUGUAAUCAUGGAGGGAGACACUAGUAUAAGCCCAGAUGAAUAGCAUGGGAGACGUAAGUUGGUGCCAUCCCCUUACUUUGUGAGCUUGUAUCAGUCACUUCAUUUAUCUGGGUUUUAGGUUCUUCUUUUAUGAAAAGAAGUGGUUGAACCAGAUGAUCAGUAAAUAGGGUGAUCUUACUGUUAUGUAUUGUCCACAUCGUGACAUUCUUGAGAGGGAGAUGAAGCUCCCUUAAUAAUUAUGCCAGGAGAAGAGUCGUAAACUGCUCCUGUCCUGGGCAAAUGGGGAGGAAUAGUUAUCCUGUCAAUAAGGGUCUCUGAAACAUCUAAACCGUGUGAGGUGACAGCCUCAGUAUCAGCAGCAGUCUGGGCUCUAGGAGUCGGAUCUUACGUGUGAUUUCAUGGGUUCUGUUUGAGCUGAUGAUGUGUCAGCACAGCUGCUUGCAGGGCGGUGAGAGGGGUUUUCGAAAGGCCUCCAGCCCCUCCAGUCAGUGGGCUGCCGCCUCCCAUGCCUGCGGAAUAAUAAAGACUUUCCAGUGGUAAGACAUUGACAUUUCUAGGUUAAAAACUAUUGUUGAAACGGAGCUAAUUUCUCAAUAGGGUGAAAAAUGGAUCUCGCUUUCCUCUGCUCUGAUAAUAUGAAAAUAAUGGGUCUCCUUUACAACAGUUGCCUUCCUUUUUUUCCCAAUCUUUGGAGGCAACUGAUUAAUCUGUAUUUAUAAGACUCAAGAUUACAAACUAUUAGUGUCACCUCUGUGCUGCCAAAGCUUUGAAGGGCCUGAAAGAAGGUCCUAAGUGACUAGGGUUCUAGCCAUUCUGAAAUAUAAUGUCACAUUGCUGGAAUUCAGUUUACUAAAAGAGACAUCUAGCUAGAAUCUAUUCCUAGAAAGAAUCCAAUGGGUUACAUACAUUUGUAUAUAAAAGCAAUAGAGACUAGAAAAUAUCUAGCAGGUGACUGGAAAACGCUCCAGAAGUUCCUGAACCUCCCUAAGGUCUUGAGAAGGGAGUGGGAUUUAGACAAGAGAAUAAGCACUGUGCUCAGAGUUGGGUGGGACCAAGACUCCUGUAAAUAAAUAAAUUUAUUUAUAAAUAAAUCCAGUCUCUUAGAGCAGGAGGCAGUCUUCCAAUUUGGGUGCUGCUAAAUAGGACCUCUUUGUCCCCAGACAUGCCCCAGUGGAUGUAACCCGUGCUAAGAAUCAGGAGAGGAGAUUCCAGUCCCAGGUCUGCCCAGGGAAGGUCAGAUUGCCUGAUGGUUAAGGGCAUGGACUUCAUCAGCAUGACCUUGGGAGAAAUGAUACUGCCAAGGAGAUAGGACUAGAUGCUGCAGGAACUUUACAGAGAGAACUCGAAGAGGAGCCACAGGACCUAUUGAAGAAUUGUGCAUGGAGGAAUUUCAGUAUUUGCUGCUAGCUCAUGUAGACAGCCAAGCCCAACCUUUCUGGAGUCCUACAAAUCUCCAAGGAGAAACACACAGAAAACACAGAGAAUGAUAAAAAGGAGGAUGCAUUUAGUCUCUUCAUUGAAUGGAGUGUGUUAGUGUGGGUAUGUGGGAUCCUCUGAAUGAGACACAGACAACUGACAGUGUUUUCCAAUGCACAAUAAAACAGUUUAUUUAAAAAGAACGCAUUCAGUACCGUGUUUGGCACACGAGGCAAUGAGGCAGGCACAUUCACACUUAACAGGUACAUUUGGGGAGCUGUCGAAGCAAAUCAUUGCAUUGUCUUCACAAACUAUAGUCACAAUAUACACGAGAUUACCUCUACAAAAGAAAGAUGGUCAUCCUUGUUCACCAAGAAGGCAGAAGAUAUUUACAUGUUCCUCAGUUCAGCAAUGCUGGCUUCUUUCAGGUCUCCAUGGCCCUGUCAGUCUGGCAGCUUGUUUUCAAGGGCAGCUGAGGCUGCCUCUCACAAGGGAUGUGAGUCUAAUUCCUAAGGGCCGUAGCCUCUUCCAAAGAGCGAGAGUGCUUCUGAUGGAGUUGCGGAGGAGUGAAGUCUUCAGUGCCAGUCUCUCAGCAUAAAAUGGCAUUUUCCAAAACAAAUGCAUCAAGCGUGUGGGGGGAGGGCUCCAUGACUAUAAGAACAUAAGAAGCAUUUAUUUUCCCUGACACAUGCUUCUUGCCAUUUCUUCAAUAAUUUACAUUCACUGUUCUCUCGCCUUUUGACCUAUUGGUUUCAUCACUACUCUAUAGAAAGCUUUGUUCCUCACUCUACAUUGACAUACCAUUCUUUAAAAUGAUGCUAAAAUAAAAUGGUGAAACCAAGUAAGUUAAGUGAGAGAAGAUAUCACAAAAUUCUUUUGUCUUGACUUCUGAUUUAUGCCUUCACAAUGGAUUGUCAACUUCCCAUGUAAAGAAUGGAGGCAGUAUGGUGCGGUGUAGUAGAAUCAGUGGCUCGGAGACCCAGACUCAAUUCCAGUUAACUAGCUGGGCAGAUAAGUCACUUCCUCCUUUCUGAACCUCAGUGUCUCAUCUCCACACUGAGGAUCUUGAUCUGGAAUCUAGACCUGAGAUAAUGUCUAGAUCUGUGAAGUUCUGCUAUGGACUUAGGUGACUGUCCUAUGUGAGUAAACAAUGCCACAUUGUGAUAUUUCAGUAUUUUUGUUCUAUGUCCUGGGAGAAUUUCAGUGUUAAUUGAUGAUGCUUGGUGACUGGAUCUCAACCCAUCAAUAAACCCCUCCCAGAGCUCUGGUCUGUAAGGCUACUUUUCUGCAUAGUAAGAGCUCAGAUCUGGAUCUUGAAAUGUGGUUAAAGAGCAUUUCUGACAUGGAGACAAAUUAUUCCAAGUCUUGAAAAAUGGUCUAGAUUCCAGAUUUCAGUGGGAAACCUCCCCUUCCCUUUUGCAAGUACUUCAUUGACUUCAUUCCACCUUCACACAUUGACCGAUCCUUUCUCCCAUUAUCUACCAAUUUUUUCCCUACCUCCCUAGCUAAAAAUGUUGUAGGAGUGGCUGGUUCCCCAAGGCUGGUUUUGCUGUGAAUUUGUUCAUAAUAAGAUGGGGCCUACUGUCAAGUCCCUUCUGCUUGUAGCUAUGGACUUCUCUCUUUGGUGUCCAGCAAAGAGCCAGAGGAUGAAGGCCUAUUUUGUGCCCAGGCUACAUGCAAUUUGUUGUGAAUACAGGAAAACAUCUGAACGUGUAUCUGACUCAUUUAAAACAAUAUGUAGCUUAUUCAGUAUAGAGAAACAAGCUCAUUUCGAUGACUGUUAAGAAGAACACAAAAGAGAGGUGGUAUACCCUGGCCUUUUAAACACCAUACACAGAAAAUGUCCAAGUUGAGUUUCAAACAUUUACAGUCUCGAAAUGCCUUACAGAACCUGUAGGAUAUUUUACCACAGCAGAGAAAGUAGAUUUGGUCCUUCAUGAUCUAAUUUUGAUUUACUGCUCACUGAAUGAGAACCUAUGGCCACUUAUUGUAUCUGAAGAAUUAAGUGCAUUUUUUCCCAGCAUUGCCUUCCAAAGGAUUUAAUUAAGCCCACCUAAGAAUGACUUCCAUCAGAAAAACCUUUAAUUUACCAACAAAGCUUGUUCUGUGGCUCACCAGGGUAUCCGAUUUCUAAACAGUAGUGAACAGCUGGUGGUGAGGAAGAAAGAAAGUUGCCCUACUGCUCACUGCCCAGGGGACUGCGGUGGCCAAAUGUUUGUGGGUAGGUUUUUUUUCAGAGUCCAGCCUUACACUAGCUUCGCUAAGGGCAAGGCAUCACAUGAUGCCUUCCUCGACAAAGUUUGCCUGGUAGUGUUCUUAUCUAGUGGUGUUUCUUCCCAUUAGGAACUUCUCUGAGGGCAAGUAAAGCCCAGCUAAGUACCUACUCAAACCCUGGGCAUGAGGCUUAGCUGGGUAGAGACGUUUGAACUAUGGAGCUUCCCCAGGUGCGGUGGGGCCAGGUAAGCUUAUUGGAUGUCUUUCUCUUCCCCUGCUCCUUUAUGGGCACUGAUUUCUGGAUGCCUGUGAAUUUUGUGCUGUCAAAAGGCCGAGGAGCAAGUGGACAGGGAAAAUUAGAGAACUGGGGAAACAGGCAAUGGACUAUAGGAUAUGAAAAAAGAUCAGCCAACAUGGUUUCAACUGGCAGUUUAAUUGAAGAAUUUUGACCUAGAAGGUCACCCUUAGAAAUUAGACAAGCCAUGGCUAGUAAUCUCCUAAGGUACUGAGGAGUCUGUUGAGAGGUUCCUAAAAGUCACAUGGCUAGGAAAUAUUUUGAACACCUUAGGGUCCUUAGCCUCAAGGACCCAGUAACAUACUAAAAAUCAGUAGAACUAACUAAAGUAUAAAUGCCUCCUUGGGAGGAGGGGGCACUUGGGAGUCCCUCCAAAGCUGCUGCUCGCCUCUUCUAUUUGGUACUCACUGAUUCAGAAAUUGUUCAGGCAGUGCUGUGCUGGAGCCAGCUCAUACUGGCUCUUGAAAACAUUUUGUUACAUUUUCAGCUGGUUGACAUCAAGUUAGUAGCUUUAAAUUGGCUACAAUGAGAGUACACCGUGGAAAUUGGCAAGGGCUACAAAUCGGGGCUCCACUCUUCUCCAGAGCCAGUUGUUAAACAUUUAGCAGCACACAAAAGAGCUAAAAUUGUCUCUGAAUCCCAGAGAAGGGAAAUCAAAGGAGCCCUUUAGUAUCUCUGAUGAUGAAAGACAUGAGCACAGCUAUAGAAAGCAGCCUGGCCAAAACUUCAUUAGAAUGGUGGCAUCUUAUUCAACAGAGGCUGGCACAAGGCAGCCAGUGCCAACUGACCACCUCUCUCAUACUCACUUGGUCUUGGAAUUUUAGUUUCUUGAAUUUGCUUUUUUGAUCGGUUUCAUUUUAACCUGAGGACCUUUGCAUUUGGGGCAUUACUUGGAGGUUGAGAAAUAAGACCCCUUUAGGAAUAUUUUAGGCUCUGGGAAUGACAACCAAGUAGAAUCUGAAUAAAUCAUGUAACUUUCCUGUUUCUCAAUCUAUUUGUGAAGAUGAG